rnacentral:rRNA from 1 species
GACGAACCACACGAACGUUAUUCGGAAUUACUGGGCUUAAAGGGUGCGUAGGCGGCGCGGUAAGUCGGGUGUGAAAUCUCGGGGCUUAACUCCGAAACUGCAUUCGAUACUGCCGUGCUUGAGGACUGGAGAGGAGACUGGAAUUUACGGUGUAGCGGUGAAAUGCGUAGAUAUCGUAAGGAAGACCAGUGGCGAAGGCGGGUCUCUGGACAGUUCCUGACACUGAGACACGAAGGCCAGGGGAGCAAACGGG